UUCGAGGGUGUCUCCUCCCCUUCUCGGGGGGAAAGAGAUGCUCUGGAACCCAACGAAACCCUUGACCUCAAAUCGGGUGAGACUACCCGCUGAACUUAAGCAUAUC
rnacentral:rRNA from 1 species